UACGUAGGGUGCGAGCGUUUGUCCGGAAUUAUUGGGCGUAAAGAGCUCGUAGGCGGUGUGUCACGUCGGCCGUGAAAACCUGCAGCUUAACUGUGGGCGUGCGGUCGAUACGGGCAUCACUGGAGUUCGGCAGGGGGAGACUGGAAUUCCUGGUGUAGCGGUGAAAUGCGCAGAUAUCAGGAGGAACACCGGUGGCGAAGGCGGAUCUCUGGGCCAUUACUGACGUGAGGAGCGAAAAGCGUGGGGGAGCGAAACAGG
rnacentral:rRNA from 1 species